rnacentral:tRNA from 1 species
UUCCUGGAGGACUAAAGGUUAGGCCACAGCGCUCUCACCGCUGCAUCCUGGGUUCGAUUCCUGGCCAGGGAG